AGGUAUCUCAGGUUGACAGCAGUGAUCGUGUUCAGGGAUAAAUCACUUGCACACCCGCUCUCUAAACGACAGGUGUCGAGAUCAGCCUCUAAGGUCUAUGCCUGUAGGAUCAGUGUGUACCUCACCUAUAUGGUCCCUUCAAGUUACUGCCAACAGCUUCUACAGAGGGCAUCUCAUUAAAGAUUUACCCUGCUCAGCGUUUAAUGAACCAGAGGGAGACAGGAGACACAUGGAAGAAGAGCAGGAAGGAAAGCCAGUGGGAGAGGAGACCAGAAAGUGUGUGAAAUACAAUGCCUGUAGGCGGAGUGAAGGCCUUUAACAGGGGAGAUGAAGCACACCUGUAACACCUGACUCACCUGCAUUUAACAGGGCUGCAAAAGGAAGGUUCCUGACGGAGUGAAAUGACCCACAAUCACCCAAGUGGCACCCAUGAUAAGAGCGGUUCGAAUUCUCUACAUGAUAGGAAAGGAGCUUUGAUACUUCCUUUAUAACCUCCUUUAGCUUAGGAAACACUGGACGUUGCUUUAGGAAAGGAAAGGAGAAAAUGCUGUCCCACAAUGCCUUGCAGUCGCAACAUUAAUCGUGACACACCAUUCGAACAAGUUAAGUUCAAUCAUGGUGACUUUGGUGAGAAAGUCCUCCUUCUUUG